rnacentral:lncRNA from 1 species
GGAUAUCUAGAAGAUAUGUAAAUAUCUUUCACAAUCAUAUUAACGAUUUGUAUAUAUUUUAUAUGAUCUCUUUAGUUAGGAAACUAGGUUAAAUGUUAUUCCUAUAUAUAUGCUUGUAUAUUGUAACAUCAUCUUUAUGAGAGUCAAUAUACAAUUCUUCCAAUCCUAAACUCUCAUCAAUCAUUACAUGGUAUCAGAGCAGGUUGCUCCCGAGUUUUGAUCUAACAGUCAAACUCGUUUUCUUUUAUUUUUGUUUUUGUUAAGCCAAGUGCUUCUUCCAUUCAAGUUCAUCAUGAACCUCUGAAUCUAAGCCAUCGUGCUUCUCUUCAUUCAAGUCUAUGCCAUAGACCUCUGAAUCUAAGGUACAAAUGCUUUUUUAUGAACCUCUGAAUCUGAAUCUUUAAAAAAAAAAAAAAAAAAAAAAAAGUUUUUUCUUUAUUCAUGUUUAUCAUACACCUCUGAAUCUGCUUUUUAUUUUUCUUAUUAUUAAAAAAAAUAAAAACACGAUCACUCAUGCUUCGGAUAAACAUCUGAAUCAAGCCAUUAAAAAAAAAAAAAAAUUAUUCACAUUUUCUUUUCUUAAGCAGUUUCUUAAUAUUUUUCUUUCAAUAAUGCUUUAUUUAUUAAAAAAAAAAAAAAAAACAUCGGUUUCUUCUUCUUCCUAAGACAAAGGUUGAUCACCAAUCAUGCCGUCGUCCACACCACCUUGAUCAGCAUCUUCAUAGCUCAUCACCAUCGUUAACAACAAUAUCUCCCACGAGCAACGCUCCUUAGCUUCUUCAAAGUGUACACAUGACUAAUAAUAAUCGAAAUCAAUCUCAAGCCGCUAAUUUCGUUGUUUCUUCAUUAUCCCCUUGAAAUUGAGGGGGCGUAUAAGAGGAUAUCUAGAAGAUAUGUAAAUAUCUUUCACAAUCAUAUUAACGAUUUGUAUAUAUUUUAUAUGAUCUCUUUAGUUAGGAAACUAGGUUAAAUGUUAUUCCUAUAUAUAUGCUUGUAUAUUGUAACAUCAUCUUUAUGAGAGUCAAU